UAAGGAAUAUUGGUCAAUGGACGCAAGUCUGAACCAGCCAUGCCGCGUGAAGGAUGAAGGUCCUCUGGAUUGUAAACUUCUUUUAUCUGUGAAGAAAGGCACUUAUUCUUAGGUGUUUGACGGUAACAGAGGAAUAAGCACCGGCUAACUCCGUGCCAGCAGCCGCGGUAAUACGGAGGGUGCAAGCGUUAUCCGGAUUCACUGGGUUUAAAGGGUGCGUAGGCGGGCGAGUAAGUCAGUGGUGAAAUCUCCAGGCUUAACCUGGAAACUGCCAUUGAUACUAUUUGUCUUGAAUUACGUGGAGGUGAGCGGAAUAUGUCAUGUAGCGGUGAAAUGCUUAGAUAUGACAUAGAACACCAAUUGCGAAGGCAGCUCACUACACGUUGAUUGACGCUGAGGCACGAAAGCGUGGGGAUCAAACAG
rnacentral:rRNA from 1 species